AAAUCCCUCCCACAAUUCCAGAUUUCCCACCUUCUAUAUAUAGAAGGUGGGAAAUCUGGAAUUGUGGGAGGGAUU